UUUUCCCUGGCCUGUUUGUGAUUGUCAGUGUUGUUGAGCCAACUCUCUUAAAAAGGACAGCUCCGCUGGCUCUGGAUGGAAAAUCGCUAGCGAAUUACCUGAUGGGGUUAUGAGCCUGACCACCUAUACUAUAGGUUUAACUUUCCUGGCAACACGGCAGGGUGGGGAAUUU
rnacentral:other from 1 species